UCAAACGCCGCAGAUUUCUCUACAAGCUACAAGUUCAAGAAUUCAAGAUCAAGUUUAUCAAAUUCAAGAACAACUUAAGAUCAAGACUAUCAGAUUCAAGAAUAAGCCCAAAAGCCCUUGAAUUGAAGUACAAGUCAAGAUCAAAUUCAAGAACAAGUGAAGUUCAAAAUCAUCAAAUCAACAAAUCAAGAUCAAACACAAGAUUAAAGAUCAAGCUCAAAACCCCUUGAAUUGAAGUAACAAGUCAAAAUCAAAUCCAUCAAGUUGAACUAAAUUCAAGAUCAAGCUCAAGAGCCCUUGAAUUUAUAUUCGAAAAGACGAAUCAGAGGAUACAUAGAGAUUGUAACACUCAUAUUCAAAUAUCAAAUACUACGAUUGUUGCGAUA